ACUCAAAUGAAUUGACGGGGGCCCGCACAAGCAGCGGAGCGUGUGGUUUAAUUCGAUGCAACGCGAAGAACCUUACCUGCGCUUGACAUGGAGUCGCACCAGGGGUAACGCCCUGUCCCCUUCGGGGGCGGUUCCACAGGUGCUGCAUGGCUGUCGUCAGCUCGUGCCGUGAGGUGUUGGGUUAAGUCCCCUAACGAGCGCAACCCCUGGGGUCCGUUACCUUGGUGUCGGGCCCGACUGCCGCGCGCAACGCGGAGGAAGGUGGGGAUGACGUCAAGUCAGCACGGCCCUGACGCGCAGGGCGACACACACGCUACAAUGGCCGGUACAACGGGUUGCCAAGCCGCGAGGCGGAGCCAAUCCCAGCAAAGCCGGUCUCAGUUCGGAUUGCAGGCUGCAACUCGCCUGCAUGAAGUCGGAGUUGCUAGUAACCGGGGGUCAGCACACCCCGGUGAAUACGUUCCCGGGCCUUGUACACACCGCCCGU
rnacentral:rRNA from 1 species